GGAAAAGCGUUGAAGAGAACGAGUAGCUCUAAUGGAACUUACAGAAAGCAGCCGGCAGCUGAGAGGCGCAAAGGAAAGUUAGAGUGAAUACAUCUCGGAGCUGCGUACCGAACUCACAGUAGGCUACGCCGGGGAAAGCAUCCGUCAUCAUGGCAAAGGUAUCGCUCAAAAGCCGUACCUAGUGAGAAGAGUUGUGUGAGCAGCUCUUGAAUAAAGGUGGUAACGCGUUUAAAUACGCCCUUUAG
rnacentral:ncRNA from 1 species